CACCAUCCAAUCACAUUGGAGAUAAAUGAGUUGGAAAUAAAUUAAUAAAUAAAAUAUAAAAAUUCCAACUCUCUUAUCUCCAAUGUGCUUGGAUGAUG
rnacentral:pre_miRNA from 1 species